AAUGAACGCUGGCGGCAGGCCUAACACAUGCAAGUCGAACGGGAUCUUCGGAUCUAGUGGCGGACGGGUGAGUAACGCGUGGGAACGUGCCCUUUGCUUCGGAAUAGCCCCGGGAAACUGGGAGUAAUACCGGAUGUGCCCUUUGGGGGAAAGAUUUAUCGGCAAAGGAUCGGCCCGCGUUGGAUUAGGUAGUUGGUGGGGUAAUGGCCUACCAAGCCGACGAUCCAUAGCUGGUUUGAGAGGAUGAUCAGCCACACUGGGACUGAGACACGGCCCAGACUCCUACGGGAGGCAGCAGUGGGGAAUCUUAGACAAUGGGGGAAACCCUGAUCUAGCCAUGCCGCGUGAUCGAUGAAGGCCUUAGGGUUGUAAAGAUCUUUCAGAUGGGAAGAUAAUGACGGUACCAUCAGAAGAAGCCCCGGCUAACUCCGUG
rnacentral:rRNA from 1 species